rnacentral:rRNA from 1 species
CUACGGGAGGCAGCAGUGAGGAAUCUUGCGCAAUGGGGGCAACCCUGACGCAGCAACGCCGCGUGAGUGAGGAAGGUCUUCGGAUCGUAAAGCUCUGUCAGUUGGGAAGAAACGGCUGGAGGUCAAUACCCUUCGGUCUUGACGGUACCAACAGAGGAAGCACCGGCUAACUCCGUGCCAGCAGCCGCGGUAAUACGGGGGGUGCAAGCGUUGUUCGGAAUUAUUGGGCGUAAAGAGCGUGUAGGCGGCCUGAUAUGUCAGAUGUGAAAGCCCUGGGCUUAACCCAGGAAGUGCAUUUGAAACUGUCAGGCUCGAGUAGGGGAGAGGGAAGUGGAAUUCCUGGUGUAGAGGUGAAAUUCGUAGAUAUCAGGAGGAACACCGGUGGCGAAGGCGACUUCCUGGCCCUAUACUGACGCUGAGACGCGAGAGCGUGGGUAGCAAACAGGAUUAGAUACCCGUGUAGUCC